UGAGCCGGCCGGGUGACCGCGGCGUCUCCCCCCAGGGGGUUUCGCUGAGGAAGGUCGGGGCUCCAGAGGACAGGAUGCUGGCUAGCGGCCAGUCGGGGCGACCCGCAGGAAAGUGCCACAGAGAACAGACCGCCGAUGGCCUCGGCUCCCUUCGGGAGUCGGGGCACAGGUGAGGGUGAAACGGUGCGGUAAGAGCGCACCAGCGGCCGGGGUGACCCGGUCGGCUCGGCAAACCCCAUCCGGAGCAAGGCCGAAAAGGGAGAGGGCGACCCGUCCGUGGACACUCCCAGGUAGGCCGCACAGAUGGAUGGUCACCCAUCCGGAUCCCCGCAAGGGGCCGGUGGACAGAACCCCGCCUACAGGCCGGCUCACCGU
rnacentral:RNase_P_RNA from 1 species